AAUAUAUUAUAUAUAACUUGAUAUGAUUAUAUAUGAACCCUUAUAAUUUAACUCUUGUUCGCUUGGAUCGAGAGUUAAGUUCAAUAGGUCAUUAUUGACCUUAAAAUUAAUGUUAAAUCCUUCCAUAUUCAGGGCGACAAAUAUGCACAGACCUGCACUGAGAGUAUACCAGUGGGUGCAUUCGUUUAUGCAGUGAUUAGCGCAUCCACUGCGCAUCCACUGCGUCUAUUAUCUGCGAGUCACGUGACAUCAUUUACCGAACGAUCACCUGCGUGAAUUGACUGCUCAGAUUGUAAUUGGAGUGCGCAACGUUUCCAAGUUCAAUUGGCUUAACAAUGGAGAAGACUACAUUCGUUUACGCAGUAGUCCGCAGUACUGCGAGCAAAGCAUCCUAAGCAGGACCUCCGAGAUGGCUGCGCAGAUAGGCAGCAGCUCUGCUUAAACGAACAACAAACUGCGCUGCAGUCGGUUGCGCAGGUGGAGUAAACGAACGACAUUUGCGGCAUUCUGCGGCAGUCACUGCAUAAACGAAUGCACCCAUGAAUGGACUGAGCAUCGCGAUGGGUAAGCGCGCGCCUGCUUUAGAGUGAGAAGUACUACAUCUGAGGCCUAUGUUUGUCUCUCUUUUUGCAGGGCCGUCUAAAAAAAUUGCGGACCAUGUGCAUUUUUCUAUGAAAUGUGUAGUC